UGCAUAUCAAUAAGCGGAGGAAAAGAAACCAACAGGGAUUGCCUUAGUAACGGCGAGUGAAGCGGCAAAAGCUCAAAUUUGAAAUCUGGCACCUUCGGUGUCCGAGUUGUAAUUUGAAGAAGGUAACUUUGGAGUUGGCUCUUGUCUAUGUUCCUUGGAACAGGACGUCACAGAGGGUGAGAAUCCCGUGCGAUGAGAUGCCCAAUUCUAUGUAAAGUGCUUUCGAAGAGUCGAGUUGUUUGGGAAUGCAGCUCUAAGUGGGUGGUAAAUUCCAUCUAAAGCUAAAUAUUGGCGAGAGACCGAUAGCGAACAAGUACAGUGAUGGAAAGAUGAAAAGAACUUUGAAAAGAGAGUGAAAAAGUACGUGAAAUUGUUGAAAGGGAAGGGCUUGAGAUCAGACUUGGUAUUUUGCGAUCCUUUCCUUCUUGGUUGGGUUCCUCGCAGCUUACUGGGCCAGCAUCGGUUUGGAUGGUAGGAUAAUGACUAAGGAAUGUGGCUCUACUUCGGUGGAGUGUUAUAGCCUUGGUUGAUACUGCCUGUCUAGACCGAGGACUGCGUCUUUGACUAGGAUGCUGGCAUAAUGAUCUUAAGCCACCCGUCUUGAA
rnacentral:rRNA from 1 species